CCACUCCAGGAUUCAAGGAGGCCAUCAUUUCUCGUGGAAAUCUCUUCUAUUCUUAAGAAUUCAACUUUGUGAUCCUGGUAUCUCCCCUGCCAGCAUUUGCCGUUUGCUUUUCUGUUUGCUUUAUUCCUGGACUCUAUUGGUUUCAGCACAUCCAGCCUCUGAGACCUGAUCUGCUCUGAGAACAGAACCUGAGGCUGCAUUCUGGAGCAGAGUCUGCAUCACAGGAAAUCAGUGUGCCUGCUAAUACCAAGCAAACCUCUGGAACUCAGUGUGCCUGCUAUUACUGAGCAAACCUCUGGAAAUCAGUGUGCCUUUUAACACUGAAAAGCUUCCUUUCAAGCAUGGUGCUUUGCGAGAUCCCAGCACAUGGCGUUCUACAAACACAAUCCACGGAAAUGUUGAAAAUAGAAAUAUUAGUAGUGUAUUAUCUAAUAGUAGACAAUGGAAAUAAGACUCGAUGAAAAGCAGGUACCGGGCACUGGCCAGCUCUUCGGCAGUGAGGAAGCUGCAAACACUGAUCACAGUCCCUGCAUUGAGCUGUCAGAUAGCCAGGGCCUUGAAGGGAUGGAAAGCCAGUUUCUAGUGACAACAGGGAAGAGGGAGGGAGAAGUUCUGAAUUCCAUGGACUCAUGCUCCAUGGAAGAUGUGAUCCUCAAAAUACAAACGUGCCUUUUCCCCAAAAAUCCUCAAUGCAAAAUCAACACUAAAAUCCACACUGCAAUUUUUCUAGUUGCAGAGAAUACACAGUUUUUUAAAAUAAAAUUUUUGACUUUGAAAUUAGGAAAGUAAUAAAAAAUUCUAUUCUCUUCUU